rnacentral:rRNA from 1 species
GACGAACGCUGGCGGCGUGCUUAACACAUGCAAGUCGAACGGAAAGGCCCUGCUUUUGUGGGGUGCUCGAGUGGCGAACGGGUGAGUAACACGUGAGUAACCUGCCCUUGACUUUGGGAUAACUUCAGGAAACUGGGGCUAAUACCGGAUAGGAGCUCCUGCUGCAUGGUGGGGGUUGGAAAGUUUCGGCGGUUGGGGAUGGACUCGCGGCUUAUCAGCUUGUUGGUGGGGUAGUGGCUUACCAAGGCUUUGACGGGUAGCCGGCCUGAGAGGGUGACCGGCCACAUUGGGACUGAGAUACGGCCCAGACUCCUACGGGAGGCAGCAGUGGGGAAUAUUGCACAAUGGGCGGAAGCCUGAUGCAGCAACGCCGCGUGCGGGAUGACGGCCUUCGGGUUGUAAACCGCUUUCGCCUGUGACGAAGCGUGAGUGACGGUAAUGGGUAAAGAAGCACCGGCUAACUACGUGCCAGCAGCCGCGGUGAUACGUAGGGUGCGAGCGUUGUCCGGAUUUAUUGGGCGUAAAGGGCUCGUAGGUGGUUGAUCGCGUCGGAAGUGUAAUCUUGGGGCUUAACCCUGAGCGUGCUUUCGAUACGGGUUGACUUGAGGAAGGGUAGGGGAGAAUGGAAUUCCUGGUGGAGCGGUGGAAUGCGCAGAUAUCAGGAGGAACACCAGUGGCGAAGGCGGUUCUCUGGGCCUUUCCUGACGCUGAGGAGCGAAAGCGUGGGGAGCGAACAGGCUUAGAUACCCUGGUAGUCCACGCUGUAAACGGUGGGUACUAGGUGUGGGGUCCAUUCCACGGGUUCCGUGCCGUAGCUAACGCUUUAAGUACCCCGCCUGGGGAGUACGGCCGCAAGGCUAAAACUCAAAGGAAUUGACGGGGCCCCGCACAAGCGGCGGAGCAUGCGGAUUAAUUCGAUGCAACGCGUAGAACCUUACCUGGGUUUGACAUGGAUCGGGAGCGCUCAGAGAUGGGUGUGCCUCUUUUGGGGUCGGUUCACAGGUGGUGCAUGGCUGUCGUCAGCUCGUGUCGUGAGAUGUUGGGUUAAGUCCCGCAACGAGCGCAACCCUUGUUCACUGUUGCCAGCACGUUAUGGUGGGGACUCAGUGGAGACCGCCGGGGUCAACUCGGAGGAAGGUGGGGAUGACGUCAAGUCAUCAUGCCCCUUAUGUCCAGGGCUUCACGCAUGCUACAAUGGCUGGUACAGAGAGUGGCGAGCCUGUGAGGGUGAGCGAAUCUCGGAAAGCCGGUCUCAGUUCGGAUUGGGGUCUGCAACUCGACCUCAUGAAGUCGGAGUCGCUAGUAAUCGCAGAUCAGCAACACUGCGGUGAAUACGUUCCCGGG